UACAGGGGGUGCAAACGUUGCUCGGAAUCAUUGGGCGUAAAGCGCACGUAGGCGGUUCGUUAUGUCGGAUGUGAAAGCCCUUGGCUUAACCGAGGAAGUGCAUCCGAAACUGGCGAGCUAGAGUACUAAAGAGGAUCGCGGAAUUCCCGGUGUAGAGGUGAAAUUCAUAGAUAUCGGGAGGAACACCGGUGGCGAAGGCGGCGAUCUGGGUAGAUACUGACGCUGAGGUGCGAAAGCGUGGGGAGCAAACAGG
rnacentral:rRNA from 1 species